GAACCCAAUUCACCUGAACCUUCUCCUCCUUCCCGAUCCUCUCUUCUCCCCUUCCUUUGAUCUCUCUUGCGGACGAAGCAAGCGAGGGUUCCGGCGACCGUCGACCUCAACAGAACCAUUGGAAUCAUCGGAGCUCGACUGAAAUCUGCAGGCUCCAAGCCUUUUUCGACUAAGGAGUCUCAGUUUCGGCGGAUCUUGCGGCCGAACGACGACCCCUUGGUGGCUAGGGCACGGUGAGGACCAAGGUUCACGUCGACUCCCUCGUUCAUCUUCUUCGAGUUGCUCCCGGAGCGAUCCGCAUCUUCUCUAGCCAGAUCGGACAGUGACGCCCUCAGGAGGUGAUCUAGGGAGAUCAGAUUCGUGCUGGUUUCUCCCUUGAUCGAUUCUUGAAUCUUCUUCCCUUCUUCUUCUCGGUUUCAUGGAUGCCGGUGAUAUUUGAUUGACGCCAUCUAGGGCCGGAGCUACCGGCUGUGCCCUAGCUGUGAUCCUUGAGGCAAGGAUCGAUUCCUUGUUGUCCGUUCUUGCUCUUCUUCCUUGUCGCUGACUAAUCUGUCGAGUGAGGUGAAGUUCUGGAUUGUGAGGUGAACCCAGCAGAGAGGAUCUGUAGGCUGUGAAGUUCUGUUCUGUCCUAUUUUGUGGAUUGGUUAGCUCCAGUAGCAGCUCACCUUGGUUACGGUAGCCACCUCAUCCAGCAGCUCUUCUGAUUUCAGUAGUUACAGUAGCUGAGAUUGAGGACUCUGAUUCGAGACGAGCAUCUCGAUAUUGGAUUAGGACUGGAUUGUAUCUUCUAUUUG